CGACUGGAGAGCGCAGAGCCCUGGCGUAGCUAACGCCCACCAGGUCAGCCCUGCACCACGCAGCAGUGCAGACACCUGGGGACUCGAUUUGGCCACAGAUGUUUCAUGGCUCUGAGGCAGCCAGAACCCGUUCCUCCUCAGCCCUUUGACUCUCUGUGAAGAGGCAACAACGCUGCAAAGAGUAUUAUCGAAGCUAUGAAGGCUCAGCUGGGACAAGGACAUCUCACCUUUGAGGAGGCAGAAUCCCUGCCUGAAUAAACAGAGAAUUCUCUCCUCUCAAGUUGGCAGCAGUUGGUCAAUCCAAGGGCGACCUUGCAGCCUGUGUUUGCUCCUCUGCCAUGGGUGCUUUCCCGAUGCCUACCUCAAGCUCCCUGUCCUCUCUCAGGACCCACCCCAACCACACAAGCAGUUGCAGAGGUACGCAGUGUGGAGCAGAAACCCCUGCUCGCGACGGGACCCCAUCCAGCUGAGGACAGCUGAGGAAACCUGCCUUGCCUCCGUGCAGCCAUGUGUAGGCCAGUUGGUUCUCCUACCGCCCUUAUGCCACUGCUCCGAAUGGCUUUUCAAGAGGGCUGGAUAAAAGGAAGAACUUCACAGAAAAAGGUGCUAAACCCAGAGCAUUUUUACAGGAAUCAGAACCGGAAUCUCCUACAGCUGCGCAGACCUAAUAAAAAUAAUAAUAAAAAGCAGAAGAGAUCGGCCAUUUACCCCUUUAUCCAAUGAAGUGAUCUCAGUGGCUUACGUGAGAUCCGAGAGGGUUGUUAUGGGAAAAAUUUGGCUGCAGGACCUGUCUGGGAGGUGCGGCAUCAACCUGGCUGAAAACCGACAGCGACGGCAGCUGGAAGGAACUUUUCGAAGCCUGCUUGUUCUCUGCGGGGUAGAAGCGCUCCUGCGACGGGUCUGUGCCCCGAGUGCUCCCCUUUGGGCUCGGGGGGCUUUUUGGUGUCAGGAGAGGCUGCUGAGAUGGGCUCGAAGACCUCGGUGCCGCUUUGCAGGUGUCUUCGCCGGACCUGGGUAAGGAUUUCAGCAGGUGGUUUAACAGGCGCGCCCCGAGGGUCUUGUCCAUCCACUCGCAGGUGAGGAGGAGGUUGUGCACCUCAUGCAUGCACUGGAUGUACCCGGUGCUGUACCUCUGCUGGGCUUCCAGACCCACUUUGGAGUCGGCUGCGUUGGAGAGGAGACAAGGGGAGUUGGUGAGCAGGCGAGAGCUGCCCGGCGUGUUCCCCCCUGAGAGCAUUCACCAGGCUUCCCGUGUGCACACGCUCCGGGGGGGUUGUCGCUGAAGCCGCCUGGGCUUGACUUAAGGUGAAUGGAUGGCUUGCAGGGCGCAGCGGGAGGGUGAUGCUGGAUGCCAGCCGCCCCCCCGGCAGCCCCCGCCUCCCGCUGCCCACCACCAAGGGCAAAACUACGCCAAGAAGCAGAAACCUGCUCUGGAAGGAAAAAAACCCCAAAACCUUCCCGUGGGUUAACCAGUGCCCAGCUCCAUCUCCCCAUCUAGUGGAGAAAGCCAAACCCGAGCAGCAGCCCGGGCCUCAACACGUUUGGAAGGUGCUUUGGCCAAGCUGCCGGCAGAUCAUACCUGCCGGCACCCUCCUGCCCCGACCAGGCACUCACCCAUCAACUUGCUGCUCUGGAUGUUCUGGAGGUGCUUUACCGUCAUUUCGAGGAUGUCUGCUUUUUCCAGUUUAGACUGCUGAUAAGGAAAGAGCGCAGCAGUUAGAGGCGACGAAGGGUUCGUACGAUGCCCAGUUUCUCAAACGAGAGAGACGCCCUCCCCCAAAUCCAAUCCCCCACCAGCAAAAGGACAAAAAGCUGCGUAAAAAUGAGCACUUACAUCCAGAUGAAACGCGCCAACAACGGUCUCCUUCAGCUGGUCCAAGCAGUUGUUAAUCCUUUCCCUUCGCUUCCGCUCGAUGAGGGGUUUCCUUAACUGGAAGGGAAAAGAAAAAGAGGAGGAAAAAUUGCAGUUGAUGUUUUUUCUUCCUCUCCCUGCUGCAGUUCAGCGAGGGCAGACAGCCCCAUCCCCUGCGUGAAGCCAGCGCGGGCUGACGUGAUGCUCAGCAGGGACAAGAUACGGAUGGAGAGUGUGCCAUCUCCCACUCCAGUCACAGCCUGUCCCUUAGCAGGUCUCAAUUCUCCCACUUCUGCUCGUUUUAAGCAGAGUUUACCCAAUUGAAAGAGAGAGAAGCCUUUCUAAGGCAGAGAAAGGAAGCAGAAAAAAACACCCACAUGGCUCAGAUUCAGAGAAAGCAUCUUUAUAAUAAUAAGAAAAAAAUUGUCCCCUUUCUCUUUCCUCGAAGCACUGCCCGUAGCCCUGGCACUCAUCAUUCAUGUGCCGUGCGUGGGGCUGCCGUCAGGCACGCGUGGGUGCAGCAGUGCGGAGGGGACCUACCUUCCUCUCCU